rnacentral:rRNA from 1 species
CGGUGCCAGCCGCCGCGGUAACACCGGCGGCCCGAGUGGUGAUCGUGAUUAUUGGGUCUAAAGGGUCCGUAGCCGGUUUGGUCAGUCCUCCGGGAAAUCUGAUGGCUCAACCAUUAGGCUUUCGGGGGAUACUGCCAGGCUUGGAACCGGGAGAGGUAAGAGGUACUACAGGGGUAGGAGUGAAAUCUUGUAAUCCCUGUGAGACCACCUGUGGCGAAGGCGUCUUACCAGAACGGGUUCGACGGUGAGGGACGAAAGCUGGGGGCACGAACCGGAUUAGAUACCCGGGUAGUCCCAGCCGUAAACGAUGCUCGCUAGGUGUCAGGCAUGGCGCGACCGUGUCUGGUGCCGCAGGGAAGCCGUGAAGCGAGCCACCUGGGAAGU